rnacentral:misc_RNA from 1 species
CAUGGAUUAUCUUACACAUCCUGUAGGCAC